CUGUCCUCUCCGCUUGCCGGAUUUUGAUGGUGUUGUCUGGCAAGAAGCGGACAGAAGAGGCUGAAAAUCUUCACCACACCACUUAAGAUAACCCAAGGCUGUUUGACGUUGGAGUGUGAAAUCGCACACUUCAGCUCAGGAGUAUAAAGGAGGAGGAGGAGACCAGGGUUCAGAGACGCUUUGCUUUGACAUGUUAUUGCUCUUGCGUGGCGAAAAGAGGAUUAUUUCCUCAAUGAAUCAUUUGCUUCUGGAAUAAGUGUAUCUGCAGGCAGAAUCAACAUUAAGAAGCU